ensembl:misc_RNA Metazoa_SRP Metazoan signal recognition particle RNA
GCCGGGCGUGGUGGCGGGCGCCUGUAAUCCCAGCACUUGGGGAGGCUGAGGUGGGUGGAUCACUUGAGGUCAGGAAUUCGAGACCAGCCUGGCCAACACGGUGGAACCCCACCUCUA